AGAUUGAACGCUGGCGGCGUGCCUAACACAUGCAAGUCGAGCGGUAACAGGUGUAGCAAUACAUGCUGACGAGCGGCGGACGGGUGAGUAACGCUUGGGAAUCUGCCUAUUAGUGGGGGACAACUCGGGGAAACUCGGGCUAAUACCGCAUACGCUUUACGAAGGAAAGCCGGGGACCGCAAGGCCUGGCGCUAAUAGAUGAGCCCAAGUCGGAUUAGCUAGUUGGUAGGGUAAUGGCCUACCAAGGCUUCGAUCCGUAACUGGUCUGAGAGGACGACCAGUCACACCGGAACUGAGACACGGUCCGGACUCCUACGGGAGGCAGCAGUGGGAAUAUUGGACAAUGGGGGGCAACCCGUGAUCCGGCGACGCCGCGUGGGUGAAGAAGGCCUGCGGGUUGUAAAGCCCGUUUGGUGGGGAAGAAAAGUCUACGGCUUAAGUAAGUCGGACCUUGACGUAACCUACUAAAGAGCACCGGCUAACUCUGUGCCAGCAGCCGAC
rnacentral:rRNA from 1 species